AACGAACGCUGGCGGCAGGCUUAACACAUGCAAGUCGAACGCCCCGCAAGGGGAGUGGCAGACGGGUGAGUAACGCGUGGGAAUCUGCCCAGAUCUACGGAACAACAGUUGGAAACGACUGCUAAUACCGUAUACGCCCUACGGGGGAAAGAUUUAUCGGAUUUGGAUGAGCCCGCGUUGGAUUAGCUAGUUGGUGGGGUAAUGGCCUACCAAGGCGACGAUCCAUAGCUGGUCUGAGAGGAUGAUCAGCCACACUGGGACUGAGACACGGCCCAGACUCCUACGGGAGGCAGCAGUGGGGAAUAUUGGACAAUGGGCGAAAGCCUGAUCCAGCCAUGCCGCGUGAGUGAUGAAGGCCUUAGGGUUGUAAAGCUCUUUCGCCGGGGAAGAUAAUGACGGUACCCGGAAAAGAAGCCUCGGCUAACUCCGUGCCAGCCGCCGCCGUAACAC
rnacentral:rRNA from 1 species